rnacentral:lncRNA from 1 species
GCUGGAAGAGAAGGAGAGGAAACAGAGCAGGGGAGGAAGAAGAGGUUGCGGGUGUGGUGGCUGCGGCCGUGGCUGCGACUGUGGCUGCGGCUGCGACGUUGGCUACGGUAGCUGCGGCAGCGGUGGUGGCUGCAGUAGCAGCUUUUGGGAAAGAGAAAGAAAGGAAAGGGAAAAAAAAAAGGGGGUUGUGGCCGUGAUUGCGACUGCGGUGGUGGCGGCUGCGUCUGCGGCAACUGUGUUUGGGAAAGAAAAAGUAGGAACGAGAGAAGGGAGGAAGGAAGAUAGUGCGGUGGAAGGGGCUGCAACUGUGGCAGCGAUAGUGGCGGUGGCUGUGGCAACUGUGUUUGGGAAGGAAACAGAAGGAAUGAGAGUAAGAGAGAGCAGGUGACUGUGCCUCGAUAUUCGGCACAUGGUGUAGUUGCGAAGAAAGAAAGAAAACGAGUGUACAAAACGAAACAGGGAGGGGACGAAGGAAAAGUAGAAAAAGGAUUCGAGCGUACACCUUCUUCGAAUCUUUGGACCAAAACCUUCAAAAGGCAAGUUUCCCGAUCGUUUCUCCUGUAAUUGUUCUAAUUUUUCUUAUUGCAAGUAUUAUGAUCUUCCUCGUG